CAUACCAUUCUGAACGCACCUGAUCUCAUCUAAUCUCGGAAGCUAAGCAGGGUCGGGCCUGGUUAGUACUUGGGUGGGAAAAUCUAAAUAGAUAAUUUGUGAAAUCUGAUAAAAAAAAAAA
ensembl:rRNA 5S_rRNA 5S ribosomal RNA